rnacentral:tRNA from 1 species
GGGCUCGUAGCUCAGCGGUAGAGCGGUCGGCUCAUAACCGAUUGGGCGUAGGUUCGAAUCCUGCCGAGCCCA